rnacentral:rRNA from 1 species
AGCAGCCGCGGUAAUUCCAGCUCCAAUAGCGUAUAUUAAAGUUGUUGCAGUUAAAAAGCUCGUAGUUGAAUUUCGGGGUUAGUAGGCUGGUCAUGCCUCUGGUAUGUACUGGUCUCACUGAUUCCUCCUUCCUGAUGAGCUGUAAUGCCAUUAAUUUGGUGUUGCAGGGAAUCUGGACUGUUACUUUGAAAAAUUAGAGUGUUUAAAGCAGGCUAACGCUUGAAUACAUUAGCAUGGAAUAAUGAAAUAGGACGUUCGAUCCUAUUUUGUUGGUUUCUAGGAUUGACGUAAUGAUUAAUAGGGAUAGUUGGGGGCAUUAGUAUUCAAUUGUCAGAGGUGAAAUUCUUGGAUUUAUUGAAGACUAACUACUGCGAAAGCAUUUGCCAAGGAUGUUUUCAUUAAUCAAGAACGAAAGUUAGGGGAUCGAAGACGAUCAGAUACCGUCGUAGUCUUAACCAUAAACUAUGCCGACUAGGGAUCGGAUGAUGUAAUUUUUAAUGACU